rnacentral:misc_RNA from 1 species
AUCAAUUAAAGCUGCAAAUCCUGAAGAAACUAUGAAGAAUUUUUUAUCUACAAAUCAAAAUAAUGGAUUUUCUAUUGGAUUUAUGAAUAAGGCUUUUUUGGCAUAUUCUAAUCCUUCAACUUCAUACAAUACUUUGUCAAGGUUGUUUUGUGGUGUGAAUGACAUAUAUUGUGUUUUCUUGGGCAAUUUAAGCAACUUGUGUGCUUUAAACAAGCAUUAUGGGCUUUCAAAGUGUGCAAAUGAGGCCAUGCUUGUAAGUGAGGCCUAUCGGACCCUACGUGAUAGAGGCCCAUACCCGGCCCAUCAAGUCCUCAAGGAACUUGAAGGUAGCUUUGGUUUUGUCAUCUAUGAUCACAAGGCUGAUACAGUCUUUGUUGCCCUUGGUGGUGAUGAAAAAGUAAAGCUCUUUUGGGGUAUAGCAUUUGAUGGAUCUGUGAUGAUAUCUGAUAAUGUGGAUCACAUUAAAGCAAGUUGUAUCAAAUCAUUUGCUCCAUUCCCAAGUGGGUGCAUGUACCAUAGUGAAACAGGAUUGAAGAGUUAUGAACAUCCAAGUUACAAGAUGAAAGCAAUGCCAAGAGUUGAUAGUGAAGGUUCAAUGUGUGGAGCUUAUUUCAAGGUUGAUGUUUACUCAAAAGUGAAUAGCAUGCCAAGAGUUGGAAGUUCAGCAAAUUGGGCAACUUGGGGCCAAUAGACAUAGAUUUUGAUCGUUCGAGAUUUUUAGUCUUUUUAUUUGAAAUCGAUAAAAAAAUAAAGAUUUUAUUUAACUAUUGCUUAUGUUUUAUUUUAAAAUUGUAUUUCAGUUAUUUUUAAUCUUCUACGAGGAUCUCAGCUUUGUAAAUUUCUUUUUUCUUUUAUUUAGUAUGUUUCGAGUAGGAAAAACUAAUGUGCAAAUACUUGGCUUUCUUAUACGGG